rnacentral:lncRNA from 1 species
UGGGCGGCUGCGGGGAGCGGCCGGGGCGCGUGCACGCUGCGGGUCUCCGAAGCUCGGGGGGCGUGUCCGGGUCCCGGGGCGCCGAGGAGGGGGUGGAGGCUGGGGCCGGGAAGCCUCCCUUGGCCGCGGUCCCGACCCGGGAACACGCCGCAUGCACUCGGGAUCAGCGGCUACUGCGGAAACCCACCCGCACCUGUCUCGGGUCCUCCCAGGCACGUUCCUCUUGCUUCGUUUGCUACGUAAGUGACUGGAAACCAGUACCGACCCUAAGUCUCCGCGGUUGUUUUCUUGAAUGUGCAGGAGGAGAGGUUUCCCCAAAGCGAGACUCCCCUAGGACUGCCAUCUAAUGAAUAAAUGCUGCGGAGACCAGGUCCUCAAAGAGGGAAACAGCCCAGCAGUGGCAGGAGAGAGGAGUUUGAAAUACGUGGACUUUUACAAACAGUGAUUGGACCAUGUGUCGCCCUUAAUGUGGUCCGGUUUCAUGACUCAGGCUAAUUGAUGCCAGUAAUAAAUUUUUUUAAGAUAGCUAAUAAAAGAGUUGUGAAUUGUCGAGAUAAGAAGUGGUUGUCUCAAACAAUCGGGUAGGAUGGUAGAAGGGACCUGAUGUAAAGGAAGGUAGUAGGUUUCUUUUACUCUCUAAUUCUAAAAUACUUCUGCAUUAGAACGUGUAUCCAUCGUUCGUAAAUAAUUUUUUAAGAGCUGAAAACAAGUCAAAAGCUAUCAUAACGGAAACUUAGCCCUUUUUUUCUAAAGUUGUUUCCUAGAUCAUUUUCCUCCUUGGAAAUUUCUAGCUCA